CGGGUGUGUCGCGGCAGUGCAGCGGCCGCGAAGGGGUGUUUUGCUGUAUGUCAUAUUCCUCGUUUCGCCAGAGCGGGGGUCCCGAGCUUCGGGCGCGGGACGCGGGGGUGCUCCGAGGCUGCGAGUGGAGGCGUGACGUGACGUCCCUGGCAAGAGGCGCGCGGAGUCAGGCCUUACUUAGAACGUGUUCCCGCCGCACAGCUACCAGCGGGCGCGACCGCUACCCACGCAUGGUGCGGUCGAGUAAACGGCACCGCCUGGCGAGCGAGAGACGCAAAGGGACAUAGCCCCCUAGGAGCUGAGCUCUUCGGGGGUAAAGCGUUCUCACGUUGAUGAGACCAGGAGGCGGCGCACGCCUGGCUCCGCGGCCCAGGGGUUGCAGGUGCCCCAGGGUUCGCGGGGCGCAGACGCCGCAGAGGGCGACGCCCUGCCCGGGUCCCGCGCGGACCCGGGGGACGCAGGGUCUGACACGGAGUGCGGAGGGGCCCCAGACACGCAGUCCAUGUCCCUUGAAACCAGAGGCACGCGCGGCCACGCGCUAGGCCUUUCCCUUAAGCCUGUGACCAAGAUCUCCGGGACUCCCAGCGUUGGGACGGGCGCGCUGGCCCACGCCCAAGCGGGAGGAUCGCUUGCGCCCAGGAGAUUGAGACCAGCCUGAGCACCAAAGCGAGACCUCGUCUCUACAAAAAAUAAGACUCAAGAAGACACCCAGGGUGAAUCGCCCGUCUGCAGCCAGCCUCCCGAGCACCGUGGCCGCGUCUGACAACUGACCUCUGUGUCUGGGUGUCCCUGUCCUCAGAGGGACACGGGACCUCAGAAAGGACCACAGCCCGGCGGCAGGCAUGAUGGUGGGAAAGCUAGUUAGGACAGGUGAGGCACUAAAUUUAGCCUGUCAUAAUUUGUAUCAGGGAAAUGAUGAACUUGUAUUUUUACACACCAUGGGCACCAACACAAGAUAUGGUUUCGUAAGCAGCUUUGGCAAGAACCAAAGGAACGGAACCUCUGCUUCCAAGUGUACGGUCAGGAGCAGCGUGUUAAUUAACCCAAACCUGCAAGCAACCCAAGUACUCAUCAGCAGGUGAAUAAACAAACUGGCACAUCCACACUGCGGAACACGGCUCAACCCCCAGGAGGACCCGGCGCGGAGCCCGGCUCAACCCUGAAGAGGAUUUCACUACUGACACACACGACAUCACAGAGCCUGUGGAGGGACCCAGG
rnacentral:lncRNA from 1 species